GUAAGGCCCUUUCGGGGGUACACGAGUGGCGAACGGGUGAGUAACACGUGAGUAACCUGCCCACAACUUUGGGAUAACGCUAGGAAACUGGUGCUAAUACUGGAUAUGUGCUCCUGCUGCAUGGUGGGGGUUGGAAAGCUCCGGCGGUUGUGGAUGGACUCGCGGCCUAUCAGCUUGUUGGUGGGGUAGUGGCCUACCAAGGCGGCGACGGGUAGCCGGCCUGAGAGGGUGACCGGCCACAUUGGGACUGAGAUACGGCCCAGACUCCUACGGGAGGCAGCAGUGGGGAAUAUUGCACAAUGGGCGCAAGCCUGAUGCAGCAACGCCGCGUGCGGGAUGACGGCCUUCGGGUUGUAAACCGCUUUCAGCAGGGACGAAGCUUUUUGUGACGGUACCUGCAGAAGAAGCACCGGCUAACUACGUGCCAGCAGCCGCGGUGAUACGUAGGGUGCGAGCGUUGUCCGGAUUUAUUGGGCGUAAAGGGCUCGUAGGCGGUUGAUCGCGUCGGAAGUGGAAACUUGAUGCUUAACGUUGAGCGUGCUUUCGAUACGGGUUGACUUGAGGAAGGUAGGGGAGAAUGGAAUUCCUGGUGGAGCGGUGGAAUGCGCAGAUAUCAGGAGGAACACCAGUGGCGAAGGCGGUUCUCUGGACCUUUCCUGACGCUGAGGAGCGAAAGCGUGGGGAGCGAACAGGCUUAGAUACCCUGGUAGUCCACGCUGUAAACGGUGGGUACUAGGUGUGGGGUCCAUUCCACGGAUUCUGUGCCGUAGCUAACGCAUUAAGUACCC
rnacentral:rRNA from 1 species